rnacentral:rRNA from 1 species
UGGUGGCGAUAGCGAAGAGGUCACACCCGUUCCCAUACCGAACACGGAAGUUAAGCUCUUCAGCGCCGAUGGUAGUCGGGGGUUUCCACCUGUGAGAGUAGGACGCCGCCAAGCA